rnacentral:lncRNA from 1 species
UAUAUUCGCUGUAGUUCGCCUUAUCUUUAUCACAGAAAUAAUUGAACAAAAACAUUCGAUUGCGGGCAAAGUCUAGCCAACAGUCAACAAAACAAAACGUCAAAUGAGCGAUUAGAAUAGGUCUAUGUUUGUACGGUUAUAUACGGGUUACGAGGAGAGUGAGAAAGCAAGAUAAUUUAUUAAUUAUAGGGCAGAAUGAAGGAAUUGGCGCUGCUUAGGUAACUGCGAUCAAAUCGCUGCCAAAUUUCAUAAUUUGCCAUUACGAUUACAGCCCAAUCGUCCGAGAGUCCUAACUCGGUAA